CCCGCUGAACUUAAGCAUAUCAAUAAGCGGAGGAAAAGAAACUAACAAGGAUUCCCCUAGUAACUGCGAGUGAAGCGGGAAGAGCUCAAAUUUAGAAUCUGGCGUGCCUCUGGUCGUCCGAGUUGUAGUCUGGAGAAGUGUUUUCCGUGUUGGACCGUGUAUAAGUCUCUUGGAACAGGGCGUCAUAGAGGGUGAGAAUCCCGUCUUUGACACGGACUACCAAUGCUUUGUGAUGCACUCUCAAAGAGUCGAGUUGUUUGGGAAUGCAGCUCAAAAUGGGUGGUAAAUUCCAUCUAAAGCUAAAUAUAGGCGAGAGACCGAUAGCGAACAAGUACCGUGAGGGAAAGAUGAAAAGCACUUUGGAAAGAGAGUUAAACAGUACGUGAAAUUGCUGAAAGGGAAACGCUUGAAGUCAGUCACAUUGGCCAGGGAUCAACUUGCUUAAGUGUACUUCCUGGUUGAUGGGCCAACAUCAGCUUUGACUGUCAGAGAAGGGUAGGGGGAAUGUGGCACCCUCCUGGGUGUGUUAUAGCCCUCUGUCAUAUAUGGCCGUUGGGGCUGAGGAAUGCAGCGCGCCACAAGGCCGGGUUUCGACCACGUUCGCGCUUAGGAUGUUGGCAUAAUGGCUUUAAUCGACCCGUCUUGAAACACGG
rnacentral:rRNA from 1 species